rnacentral:tRNA from 2 species
GCCCGGGUGGCGGAAUUGGUAGACGCACGGGACUCAAAAUCCCGCGGGCUUCGGUCCUUACGAGUUCGAUUCUCGUCCCGGGUA